GCGAAGGUGGCGGAAUUGGCAGACGCGCUGGAUUCAGGUUCCAGUGGGAUCACUCCCGUAAGGGUUCAACUCCCUUUCUUCGCA
rnacentral:tRNA from 1 species